rnacentral:rRNA from 1 species
UGGCUCAGAACGAACGCUGGCGGCGUGCUUAACACAUGCAAGUCGAGCGAGCCUUCGGGCUAGCGGCGAACGGGUGAGUAACACGUGGGCAACCUGCCCCGAGCUCUGGGAUAACCCCGGGAAACCGGGGCUAAUACCGGAUACGAGACCGACAGACAUCUGUCGGUCUGGAAAGUUUUUCGGCUCGGGAUGGGCCCGCGGCCUAUCAGCUUGUUGGUGGGGUAACGGCCUACCAAGGCGACGGCGAGUAGCCGGCCUGAGAGGGCGACCGGCCACACUGGGACUGAUAUCACGGCCCAGAGAACUACGGGAGGCA